UGUGGUUCGCCCAAUCCUAGUGCAUCCAUAAGUAGGUUCAUAACCAAUUAUUUCUCCAAAUAAUUUCUAGCAAUCAGAUUUUGCCCCAGGCAUCCCUUUAGCAGGCGUGUGGCAUCUCCACUGAAAAUUCUGAUUAGGUCCAACCAUUAACAUGACAAUAUCAAGUACAUCUAACAAAUGGAUGUCUAGGUUUGAGUGUAGCUCGAUCAAUCUGAACA
rnacentral:lncRNA from 1 species